UUUUUUUUGUAUUGUUU
rnacentral:sRNA from 1 species